CAGUCGAACGAGUUCUCGUUGAUGAUCGGUGCUUGCACCGAGAUUCAACAUGGAACGAGUGGCGGACGGGUGAGUAACACGUGGGUAACCUGCCCUUAAGUGGGGGAUAACAUUUGGAAACAGAUGCUAAUACCGCAUAGAUCCAAGAACCGCAUGGUUCUUGGCUGAAAGAUGGCGUAAGCUAUCGCUUUUGGAUGGACCCGCGGCGUAUUAGCUAGUUGGUGAGGUAAUGGCUCACCAAGGCGAUGAUACGUAGCCGAACUGAGAGGUUGAUCGGCCACAUUGGGACUGAGACACGGCCCAAACUCCUACGGGAGGCAGCAGUAGGGAAUCUUCCACAAUGGACGCAAGUCUGAUGGAGCAACGCCGCGUGAGUGAAGAAGGCUUUCGGGUCGUAAAACUCUGUUGUUGGAGAAGAAUGGUCGGCAGAGUAACUGUUGUCGGCGUGACGGUAUCCAACCAGAAAGCCACGGCUAACUACGUGCCAGCAGCCGCGGUAAUACGUAGGUGGCAAGCGUUAUCCGGAUUUAUUGGGCGUAAAGCGAGCGCAGGCGGUUUUUUAAGUCUGAUGUGAAAGCCCUCGGCUUAACCGAGGAAGCGCAUCGGAAACUGGGAAACUUGAGUGCAGAAGAGGACAGUGGAACUCCAUGUGUAGCGGUGAAAUGCGUAGAUAUAUGGAAGAACACCAGUGGCGAAGGCGGCUGUCUGGUCUGUAACUGACGCUGAGGCUCGAAAGCAUGGGUAGCGAACAGGAUUAGAUACCCUGGUAGUCCAUGCCGUAAACGAUGAAUGCUAGGUGUUGGAG
rnacentral:rRNA from 1 species